rnacentral:rRNA from 1 species
UGGGGAAUUUUGGACAAUGGGCGCAAGCCUGAUCCAGCAAUGCCGCGUGCAGGAUGAAGGCCUUCGGGUUGUAAACUGCUUUUGUACGGAACGAAACGGCUCUGUCUAAUACAUGGGGCUAAUGACGGUACCGUAAGAAUAAGCACCGGCUAACUACGUGCCAGCAGCCGCGGUAAUACGUAGGGUGCAAGCGUUAAUCGGAAUUACUGGGCGUAAAGCGUGCGCAGGCGGUGAUGUAAGACAGGUGUGAAAUCCCCGGGCUUAACCUGGGAAUUGCAUUUGUGACUGCAUCGCUGGAGUGCGGCAGAGGGGGAUGGAAUUCCGCGUGUAGCAGUGAAAUGCGUAGAUAUGCGGAGGAACACCGAUGGCGAAGGCAAUCCCCUGGACCUGUACUGACGCUCAUGCACGAAAGCGUGGGGAGCAAACA